rnacentral:rRNA from 1 species
GUGUCCUACGGGAGGCAGCAGUGAGGAAUAUUGGUCAAUGGCCGGAAGGCUGAACCAGCCAAGCCGCGUGAAGGACGAAGGUGCCAAGCAUUGUAAACUUCUUUUGUCAAGGGACAAAAUCAGGCUCGAGAGCCUGACCGAGGGUACUUGAAGAAAAAGCAUCGGCUAACUCCGUGCCAGCAGCCGCGGUAAUACGGAGGAUGCGAGCGUUAUCCGGAUUUAUUGGGUUUAAAGGGUGCGUAGGCGGACUGUUAAGUCAGCGGUAAAAGACUGGGGCUGAACCCCGGCGGGCCGUUGA